rnacentral:rRNA from 1 species
UAAGUGGUGGAAAUUAAACCAAAUGGGAUAUCUUUAGUAAUUGCGAAUGAACAAGGAUAUGCUUAGCUUGACAAAUGGAGCUAUUGGCUUUGAAUUGUAUUGUGGAAAUGUAUUACCAACAGAGGUGCAGGUGCCAGCCUAUUGAAAUAAAGCGUCAAUGAGGGUGAGAAUCCUGUUUGUCAUGUGCAGCCCUUUGUGCACGGUGUAUAUUUGCUGAGUCACACUCCUUGGCAUUGGAAUGCAAAGUGGGUGGUAAGUUUCAUGUAAAGGUAAACAUGCAAUUGAGACUGAUAGCACACAAGUACCAUGAGGGAAAUAUGAAAGGGACUUUGAAAAGAGAAUUAAAUGAGUUUGUAUUUGCUGAACACAAAGUAAACAGACUUGAUUUGCUUGGUGGGAGUGUUGCACUUGCUUGACAAGAGCUUUGGGCUGUGGGUGUAAUGAUUCUUUCUUUGCAUGCCAGUUUCUAUUUGUACAUCUGAUUACCUUUGCACAUGAAUGAUAAGUCUCCUGUGGGGGGUGGAUUGCAUGUGCAUGUAAUGAUUUGUGUUUUGAUAAAUGUGUCUGGUGUAUGUGUGUGUUCCUGUGCUUGGGGAUGCUUCCUUCCUUGGACUUACAAGCCCUGACACACACAUGCUGGCAAAAUGCUUCUGCUUGACCCG